GCGGGAAUAGCUCAGUUGGUAGAGCAUCAGCUUCCCAAGCUGAGGGUCGCCGGUUCGACUCCGGUUUCCCGCUCCA
rnacentral:tRNA from 1 species